rnacentral:rRNA from 1 species
UACUAGAGUAGCACUCGCAUAUCAAUAAGCGGAGGAAAAGAAACUAACAAGGAUUCCCCUAGUAACGGCGAGUGAAGCGGGAAGAGCUCAAAUUUGAAAUCUUAAAGGGUUUCCCUUUACGAAUUGUAGUUUAAAGAAGUGUUUUCUGUUGAGGUUUUGGUAAAAGUUCUUUGGAAUAGGACAUCAUAGAGGGUGAGAAUCCCGUAUUUGACCUUUACUUUCAACUUUGUGAUACACUUUCAAAGAGUCGGAUUGUUUGGGAAUGCAGUCCAAAAUGGGUGGUAAAUUUCAUCUAAAGCUAAAUAUUGGCGAGAGACCGAUAGCGAACAAGUACCGUGAGGGAAAGAUGAAAAGAACUUUGAAAAGAGAGUUAAACAGUACGUGAAAUUGUCAAAAGGGAAGCGUUUGACACCAGUGUUGUUUUUCUGAAAAUCAAUUAAAGAACUGUUUAUGCUAAGUUGUUUAGACUUUAUCAGCUAACUGUUUAGUUUUGAGCUUUUCUUUAAUGCACUUUUCAGUUAACAAGUCAACAUCAAUUUCUUUUGCUGUAAAAAAGCUUGAGGAAGGUGGCUUGAGAUUCGUCUUAAGUGUUUAUAGCCUCUUGCCUAUGCAGUCGGAGAGAUUGAGGUCUGCAGCGUAGAUCCUUCGGGGCUAAAUGCAUUUGUGCUAAGUUAUAGCAAUUUAUAGACAACUUGUUGACUAUGAUUUGUCUUGUAGCUUACUCGCUUAUGUUAUUUUACCUACGCUUAGGAUGUUGAGCGCAUGUCUCUCUCU